CCUUCAAGAUACAUAUGAUCUAGGAUUUAUUUAUUUAUUUUUUGCCACAAGAUUUUUUGAAAUUUAAGAACUGAUACACUAAUUAAAAGGGAAAUAUCUUGGACUCUGCAUUCCCCUCUUCCAGAACUGCAAGAAAAACUGGAGCCACAAGGACUUCAUUGGGACAAGAGCAACAACCCAUCUGUUUCUGAAGGCUGGUAAUUGUGUAUAUGAAGACUUCAUGUCAGGCUGAGACAGCAUCCCUACAAUGCUAGCUUUGUGACUGAAUUUAACCUGACCACCUUUACUACCUUUUGUUCUAUAAAAUACUGAUUUAUGCUGAAAGCUUGGACAGCGGAGUUCAGCUGAAUUGGAAGCAUAAUACUGUAAAGAGGAAGACUGCAAUUUGAAGUAUGAAUGUCUCAGUGUUAAAAGGCCUCUAAUACAGUUACUAUGUAAGCAGAGUAAGGUUCACCACAAUGUUGAAGACAGGCCAUACAAUUUUAUAUCACUUAAAUCCACAAAGACAAGUGAAGGUUCUGUUGUUGCUGGAAUGCGUACUUUUUAUAGUGACUAUUUCAUAUCACCUCUUGGUAAAAAAAUGAAAACAUCGUCCAAAUGUAUUUUUAAGAACAAUUUAUGUAGGUCAUCUCUAAAUGCAUUGACUGGGUCUCUUUUUUUUUUAAAUCUAGACUUUUGGAAAAUUGAUGUAUCUUUUUGUUAUUUCUAAUUUUAUGAAUCAGGUGAAGUUUAAGGUGCUGUUUGUAUACCAUUAGUAUUCUGUUCAGCGUGGAAAAGUUACUAUCUGAAAUAAUAUGCUUACCAUUUUUUGACAUGUAAAGAAAAGAGAUAACUAACAUUAUAGCUUUGUCUAUUGCUUUUCUUCUUAAAAGACAUUAGCAUUCAGCUUUUGGUUUAGGCUCAGGAUAGAAACUAAAGGAAAAAUACAUUUCUGCAGGCAUUUGUAUUUUUUUUUUCCUUUGACUAUUAAUUAAUCCAUAGCAUGCUUUUACUGGACAGUUCAUUAGUUUUGUGUGACAGAAAA